AGCGAACGCUGGCGGCAUGCCUAACACAUGCAAGUCGAACGAAGGCUUCGGCCUUAGUGGCGCACGGGUGCGUAACGCGUGGGAAUCUGCCCUUAGGUUCGGAAUAACAGUUAGAAAUGACUGCUAAUACCGGAUGAUGACGUAAGUCCAAAGAUUUAUCGCCUAGGGAUGAGCCCGCGUAGGAUUAGCUAGUUGGCGUGGUAAAGGCGCACCAAGGCGACGAUCCUUAGCUGGUCUGAGAGGAUGAUCAGCCACACUGGGACUGAGACACGGCCCAGACUCCUACGGGAGGCAGCAGUGGGGAAUAUUGGACAAUGGGCGCAAGCCUGAUCCAGCAAUGCCGCGUGAGUGAUGAAGGCCUUAGGGUUGUAAAGCUCUUUUACCCGGGAUGAUAAUGACAGUACCGGGAGAAUAAGCCCCGGCUAACUCCGUGCCAGCCGCCGCGGUAA
rnacentral:rRNA from 1 species